rnacentral:lncRNA from 1 species
UGAUUUUUGAAAUCUCUAACUUUAGGAAAACAAAAUUUUAAAAUACUAUCUCAAGCAGGCUUCAUAAAUUGAUUGCCCCUUCUAUGGAAAUCAAGGCUGAAGAGUUGCUAAUGGUACAGGAAGUCAGCUUUUUCUGGCCUUUGUUCCCACAGGGUUUACCUUCCUUUGCUUGCUCUUUAUGUGCCAGCCCAGCAUGGCUACAAGACCUAGCAUUUUUCAUGUUCAGGCUCAAGUGCCUGUGACUCCGACCCAAUUGUAAAGAAGUCUAAUUCCCCACCACUGGAUAUGCUCUGAUUGAGUCUUGCUGUUCAAGAUCUAAUAGCCCUCAUGUUGUCCCUGGAAUGAUCCCUGAAGAUCAUUUUUUUCAAUCUGUGUGUUGGUUUCUAUCUCAGUUUCUUUAUCUGUUUCCUCAGUUCUAAACUGGAAAUGGCGUGAAUGAUUUCUCUGAGAUGUGACCUUUCUCUUUAGCUCCCUCUCAGACUCAUGGAGCACAAAGGUGUUCAGCCUUGAGCUGGGCAUCUGAGGAACUGGCAGAAAGAAGGAUGCUGAAAUAGGAGCAUCAAAAUGAUCUUCGUGAGUUAUUACUCAGCCCAGGUCUCCUGGAGUCUCACUGAAAUCUCACCUCAAGAAGAAAGAAACUACAUGAGAACCCUUUUACCAAUUUGUCGAAACUUCAAAGGAUUCCUCACUUUACCCACAACUGUCCUAGGUAGAGAGAUCUAGGAGGGGAAGAGGCUGGGGAUAAAGCUUCAGGCACAUGCGAUUUAUUAAAGGUGGGUCCUCAGGCAGCAGGAAUGGCAAAUUUGGCCAGGCCAGGGAGGGGAACUGAACAAAGAAGUGGUAUGAUGUGCGUUCUAACUUUAGCCUGAUCCCACAGCAGGCUCUGGAGGGUAACCUCAGUCCUGACUUGAGGCAAGGGAGCAGGGCAGGCACACAUAUACUCUCCUUGAUAGUGCUUCCUGCUCAGCCAAGGGCAAUUCUCCAGAGAAGAGCUAUGAAUCUUUAGUAGCUAACACAGAUAGCAUGUGGAAGAAGGGUACAGAAAUUCUAAGGAGGAUGUGGGCGGGGCAUCAGUAGUGUCCACUCCAAUGACUAACAGCGUGAG